AGCGAACGCUGGCGGCAGGCUUAACACAUGCAAGUCGAGCGGGCCCUUCGGGGUCAGCGGCGGACGGGUGAGUAACGCGUGGGAACGUGCCUUCUGGUCUGGAAUAACCCUGGGAAACUAGGGCUAAUACCGGAUACGCCCUUUUGGGGAAAGGUUUACUGCCGGAAGAUCGGCCCGCGUCUGAUUAGCUAGUUGGUGGGGUAACGGCCUACCAAGGCGACGAUCAGUAGCUGGUCUGAGAGGAUGAUCAGCCACACUGGGACUGAGACACGGCCCAGACUCCUACGGGAGGCAGCAGUGGGGAAUAUUGGACAAUGGGCGCAAGCCUGAUCCAGCCAUGCCGCGUGAGUGAUGAAGGCCUUAGGGUUGUAAAGCUCUUUUAUCCGGGACGAUAAUGACAGUACCGGAGGAAUAAGCCCCGGCUAACCUCGUGCCAGCAGCCGCCGUAA
rnacentral:rRNA from 1 species